UCUCUUUCUUCCUCUCCUGCUCUGGUCGCUACAGGGACACAGUGCCGCCGUCCCAGCGACUCCGAUCGGCGUGCUACCCUCAAAAGGUCACCCUCCUUCUCAUUUCUGAUAAGUCCCUCUCAGAUUUCACAUGCAACCAUCCUUGAAGAAGAUCAAGGGAGAAGGAGCUCGAAUCUUUUUCUGCAAAUUUCGAUCGAUUCUUCGAUCCAUGUCCCUCUUUCCUACAUGUUGCUCCACCGUGCCUUCCGCCAUGAACCACGAUAUUGGCGAUCUUCUUAUCCUUCUCCGAAGUCGUAGAGGCUACUGUAAGACCUAAGUAUUGGAAAGCUAAGACGGACCUUGCGACUGUGGCUUUGAGCUACAAGGAUGAUGAAUGCAGAACCUCUACCCUUCCAGGACCGGUUCAACUUAAAUUAUCAAUUUUGAAGAAUCUGAAGUUUGGAAUCAUAAGCUUGAUUGGUGAAGUAGUGCAGUUUUUAGAAUUUGGGAGAUACAAGGACUGCCUUGUGGAGUCCCCGUUUGAUCAAUUCCACCUUCGAGGAGGCAUGUUUUCAACCUUAAAGCGUAAGAAGGAAGUGGAGGAUUUCCGGCAAGGAUUUAGAAGCUCCGGUGAUGUUUUGCAAGUUUCCGACACUACCAUUUGAGGUAGUUUUCUCAUUUUUCCUUUUUUGGAAAGUUCAUAUUUUCCAUAUUAGGAAACGUUUCCAUAUUUGGAAACCCUUAUGGGUGUCGUUAGUAAAUAUGAAUUUACUAGAAUUAUUUUAUUUACGACUUAACGAACCUUGAAUCCUAAAACUCGUUAGUUUAACUAUUAUCGAUAAAUAACAGAAUAUGUAGCGUUGAUCAAAUAGUAUUUAUCAUUUGAUAAA